rnacentral:rRNA from 1 species
GGCGAACGGGUGAGUAACACGUGGGCAACCUGCCCAAAAGAGGGGGAUAACACUUGGAAACAGGUGCUAAUACCGCAUAACCAUAGUUACCGCAUGGUAACUAUGUAAAAGGUGGCUAUGCUACCGCUUUUGGAUGGGCCCGCGGUGCAUUAGCUAGUUGGUGGGGUAAAGGCUUACCAAGGCAAUGAUGCGUAGCCGAACUGAGAGGUUGAUCGGCCACAUUGGGACUGAGACACGGCCCAAACUCCUACGGGAGGCAGCAGUAGGGAAUCUUCCACAAUGGGCGAAAGCCUGAUGGAGCAACGCCGCGUGGGUGAAGAAGGUCUUCGGAUCGUAAAACCCUGUUGUUAGAGAAGAAAGUGCGUGAGAGUAACUGUUCACGUUCCGACGGUAUCUAACCAGAAAGCCACGGCUAACUACGUGCCAGCAGCCGCGGUAAUACGUAGGNGGCAAGCGUUAUCCGGAUUUAUUGGGCGUAAAGGGAACGCAGGCGGUCUUUUAAGUCUGAUGUGAAAGCCUUCGGCUUAACCGGAGUAGUGCAUUGGAAACUGGGAGACUUGAGUGCAGAAGAGGAGAGUGGAACUCCAUGUGUAGCGGUGAAAUGCGUAGAUAUAUGGAAGAACACCAGUGGCGAAAGCGGCUCUCUGGUCUGUAACUGACGCUGAGGUUCGAAAGCGUGGGUAGCAAACA